rnacentral:rRNA from 1 species
UUGGAGGGCAAGUCUGGUGCCAGCAGCCGCGGUAAUUCCAGCUCCAAUAGCGUAUAUUAAAGUUGUUGCAGUUAAAAAGCUCGUAGUUGAAUUUCGGGAUUGACGUGAUGGUCAAGCCUUAAGGGGUAUGAACUGUCACAGUUGAUUUCUCACCUUCUGGAGAAACUUGAUGUCCUUUAUUGGGUGUCUUGCGGAUCCAGGACCUUUACCUUGAAAAGAUUAGAGUGUUUAAAGCAGGCAUUUUCGCUCGAAUACAUUAGCAUGGAAUAAUAGAAUAGGACGGCAUGGUUCUAUUUUGUUGGUUUCUAGGAUCACCGUAAUGAUUAAUAGGGAUAGUUGGGGGCAUUAGUAUUCAAUUGUCAGAGGUGAAAUUCUUGGAUUUAUUGAAGACUAACUACUGCGAAAGCAUUUGCCAAGGAUGUUUUCAUUAAUCAAGAACGAAAGUUAGGGGAUCGAAGACGAUCAGAUACCGUCGUAGUCUUAACCAUAAACUAUGCCGACUAGGAAUCAGACGAUGUUAAUUUUUUAAUGACUCGUUUGGCACCUUACGGGAAACCAAAGUGUUUGGGUUC